rnacentral:rRNA from 1 species
GACGAACCGUCCAAACGUUAUUCGGAAUCACUGGGCUUACAGAGUUCGUAGGCGGUCUGGAAAGUUGGGUGUGAAAUCCCUCGGCUCAACCGAGGAACUGCGCUUGAAACUACCAGACUCGAGGGAGAUAGAGGAAAGCGGAACUGAUGGUGGAGCGGUGAAAUGCGUUGAUAUCAUCAGGAACACCGGUGGCGAAGGCGGCUCUGG